GUUCACGGCCAGCCCAUUUUUGCCCCCUUCUACACAAUUAAUUGGAGAGAUUUGAAGAUUAAGAGGAGGAAAAAGAUGGAGCUCAUGGUAGCCAUGGCUUUCUUGAAGACAUUUCAUGGUGAAAAAUUAGAGCUUGUCUCUAAGGUACAGACGCACAGUUUGGUGAUCUACCCAUUUAGGACACCCUCUUCUGCUGUUUGGAGUGCUCUUCUCAUUUCAGAGCACACAUUUUGGUAUAUAUUCGUUCGCUAUGUAUAUAUGUAUUUGUUCAGGGGCACGGCGGGGCCCUGUCCCGCCAUAUGAUUCGGUUUGUCUGUUUAGAGGUCUGUAGACGUAUUUGUGGGUGUGCGUGCCUACUUCUGUACGGAUGUGUUUGCAUGACUCUAUUCGUUAUGACAGCCUCGUCGGCGUGCAUUUUGUAUAUGUUGUGGCAGCCUUGUCGGCGUGCAUUUGUAUAUGCGUUUUGGGCCGUUGUGCCAUUUGACAGCCUUGUCGGCUUUUGACAUAUUUGAUAGCCUUGCCGGCUUUUUGACAUCUAUACAUAUAUAUCCGCAUACGGUUGCGUUGA